rnacentral:rRNA from 1 species
UGCCUAACACAUGCAAGUCGAACGGAGUCAUUUUGAAGUAGCAAUACGGAUGGAUGACUUAGUGGCGCACGGGUGAGUAACACGUAGGUAACUUGCCCUUAAGAGGGGAACAACCCCGCGAAAGCGGGGCUAAUACCCCAUAAGACCACGAACUGAAAUGUUUGUGGUAAAAGUAGCAAUACGCUUAAGGAUGGGCCUGCGGCCUAUCAGGUAGUUGGCGGGGUAACGGCCCACCAAGCCUAAGACGGGUAGCCGGACUGAGAGGUCGAACGGCCACACUGGAACUGAGACACGGUCCAGACUCCUACGGGAGGCAGCAGUGGGGAAUUUUGCACAAUGGGCGAAAGCCUGAUGCAGCGACGCCGCGUGGUGGUUAAGGCCUUCGGGUUGUAAACUCC